rnacentral:rRNA from 1 species
GAACCCACUUCGGUGGGGGAUUAGUGGCGAACGGGUGAGUAACACGUGGGCAAUCUGCCCUGCACUCUGGGACAAGCCCUGGAAACGGGGUCUAAUACCGGAUACGACCACUUCAGGCAUCUGAUGGUGGUGGAAAGCUCCGGCGGUGCAGGAUGAGCCCGCGGCCUAUCAGCUUGUUGGUGAGGUAACGGCUCACCAAGGCGACGACGGGUAGCCGGCCUGAGAGGGCGACCGGCCACACUGGGACUGAGACACGGCCCAGACUCCUACGGGAGGCAGCAGUGGGGAAUAUUGCACAAUGGGCGAAAGCCUGAUGCAGCGACGCCGCGUGAGGGAUGACGGCCUUCGGGUUGUAAACCUCUUUCAGCAGGGAAGAAGCGAAAGUGACGGUACCUGCAGAAGAAGCGCCGGCUAACUACGUGCCAGCAGCCGCGGUAAUACGUAGGGCGCAAGCGUUGUCCGGAAUUAUUGGGCGUAAAGAGCUCGUAGGCGGCUUGUCGCGUCGGAUGUGAAAGCCCGGGGCUUAACCCCGGGUCUGCAUUCGAUACGGGCAGGCUAGAGUUCGGUAGGGGAGAUCGGAAUUCCUGGUGUAGCGGUGAAAUGCGCAGAUAUCAGGAGGAACACCGGUGGCGAAGGCGGAUCUCUGGGCCGAUACUGACGCUGAGGAGCGAAAGCGUGGGGAGCGAACAGGAUUAGAUACCCUGGUAGUCCACGCCGUAAACGUUGGG